rnacentral:rRNA from 1 species
UUCCCCUAGUAACGGCGAGUGAAGAGGGAAAAGCCCAGCACCGAAGCCUGCGGCAGAUUUGCUGUUAGGCAAUGUGGUGUUUGGGUCGGCUCGUGGGAUUGCCACUCCACUCGAAGUCCAGCAUUGAGUAUGGUCACUGGAUUUGGCCCAGAGAGGGUGAAAGGCCCGUACGGGUGGAGGUUCAGACAUGUAAGGCAGUUCACCAGGUCGACCUUAGAGUCGGGUUGUUUGGGAAUGCAGCCCAAAGCGGGUGGUAAACUCCAUCCAAGGCUAAAUACAGACACGAGUCCGAUAGCGAACAAGUACCGUGAGGGAAAGUUGAAAAGUACUCUGAAGAGAGAGUAAACAGUACGUGAAACCGCAUGCAGGUAAACGGGUGGCGUCAAGCUGCAAGCCCAGAGGAUUCAGCCGGUUAGGAUGUUGUGUAUGCGCCUGGCGCAUCUAUCAGUCGGAGUAUGAUUGGAUAGUCCACCAGUAGACGGUGGGCCUGACCGCAAGGUUGGGAUAUGUGUACCGGGUGGGUGCCGGAGCAUGCUAUCCGUCUGAGGACUGUCUAAUCGGUGCACUUUCUCUGUGGUGAACACCACGACCGGUGGUAUUGCCAGUCUGCUGUGUCCAAGUCGUGUUUGGUAGGUCCUUGUGGCCAACUGGAUGCGAUCACAGGCAAAUUUAGUAAACGGCGUAGAGGUGUUUCGGCAUCUCUGCGUGUUAUCGGCUACUAGUUGUCAACGGGCCUGCUCGAUGUUUGUUGUAACUGGCAUCGAGUGGUCUGGUGGGGCAUGGUGGUAAGAAUAACUGUGCAAGGCACCGGAGUUAUCGGCCUCAAAUGCAUUCUACACCCACGUUACAAGUGGUGUUGAUGGUGGUGUUGUUGCUGUCUGCCCGGUGUUGAGUCUGAUUGUCGUGUCGCCUGCACAAAGUAGGCCCGGCAGUGGCUCGACUCGGGAUGGGCAGUGGAUAAUGCUACCGGUGUGGUAUGUGGUGGGCCUAAUAGUCAGUGGUGUAGUGGUAGACGAGCUACCCGACCCGUCUUGAAACACGGACCAAGGAGUUUAACAUGUAUGCGAGUCAAUGGGCCUUACGAAACCCAAAGGCGCAGUGAAAGUAAAGCUUCGACUUGUCUCGAAGUGAGGUGAGAUCCUGCUGUUACUCGCACCAGUCUAAUGUCAGCAUCAGGCUUAAGAGCAGUAGGCGCAUCACCGGCCCGUCCCAUGAUGUGGUCAUUGGAUGUCUGUGGUUGUGGUCAUCUUCAUGGUGGUGGCAAUCAUGGUGCCAGUGCGUCAUCGGGGCGGUGCAUGAGCAUACAUGUUGAGACCCGAAAGAUGGUGAACUAUGCUUGCGUAGGUUGAAGCCAGAGGAAACUCUGGUGGAGGACCGCAGCGAUUCUGACGUGCAAAUCGAUCGUCAAACGUGAGCAUAGGGGCGAAAGACUA